CCGAGUUUACAACUCCCAAACCCCUGUGAACAUACCACUUAGUUGCCUCGGCGGAUCAGCCCGCGCCCGUAAAACGGGACGGCCCGCCAGAGGACCCCUAAACUCUGUUUCUUAGUGGAACUUCUGAGUAAAACAACAUAAUAAAUCA
rnacentral:misc_RNA from 1 species